GAGCUAUUUUAGCUUCCUAUGUGGACACUUUUAGUGAUUUCUGAAUUUUUUUGUACUCCCCACCAGCCCACCCAAGAAAUGCAAAAUACUGUAGAACAAGACUGUACCACUAGAUUGAGCCUUACAGGGUGGAAAAAGUUGCCUUGUAAUUGUUACAAUAAUUCAUCCUACACAGAUAAUCAUACAACGCAGAUUGCAAUAGUCCUUCUGAAGCUGAAGCUGUCAAAACCAGCACAGAACUGCCAAGCUGCUCUUACCGCUCUCUAUUACCGCAAGUAAGCUACAAAAGGGCUCUAGAAGCUACUAUCAUGGAUCACACAGUGCCUGCUUCUGGCAAACAGCAAACCACCAGUGCUUGCAUGUAAAUACAAGUGUGCAGAAAUCUGGCGACACAGCAAUAUGCCCAUCCAUGUGUGUGCAUCCUUUGGAAAUAGUUGAGAGCCCAGAGGCUGAUCAAAAGCAGAAACUCUAGAAUAAAUUUCCUAUUUUGUCUCCAG